UACGUAGGGGGCUAGCGUUGUCCGGAAUCAUUGGGCGUAAAGCGCGUGUAGGCGGUCCGGUAAGUCCGCUGUGAAAGUCGGGGGCUCAACCCUCGAAUGCCGGUGGAUACUGUCGGGCUCGAGUGCGGGAGAGGCGAGUGGAAUUCCUGGUGUAGCGGUGAAAUGCGCAGAUAUCAGGAGGAACACCAAUUGCGAAGGCAGCUCGCUGGAACGUUACUGACGCUGAGACGCGAAAGCGUGGGGAGCAAACAGG
rnacentral:rRNA from 1 species